rnacentral:rRNA from 1 species
GACGAGGGACCUAGCGUUGUUCGGAAUCAUUGGGCGUAAAGAGUAUGUAGGCGGCUUUGUAAGUCAGUUGUGAAAUCCCCGGGCUUAACCCGGGAAGUGCAAUUGAUACUGCUAAGCUUGAAUUUGGAAGAGGGUAGUGGAAUUCCUGGUGUAGUGGUGAAAUACGUAGAUAUCAGGAGAACACCGGUGGCGAAGGCGGCUACCUGUCCUAAAUUGACGCUGAGAUACGAAAGCAUGGGGAUCAAACAGG